rnacentral:rRNA from 1 species
GAUGAACGCUGGCGGCGUGCCUAAUACAUGCAAGUCGAGCGAACAGACGAGGAGCUUGCUCCUCUGACGUUAGCGGCGGACGGGUGAGUAACACGUGGAUAACCUACCUAUAAGACUGGGAUAACUUCGGGAAACCGGAGCUAAUACCGGAUAAUAUAUUGAACCGCAUGGUUCAAUAGUGAAAGACGGUUUUGCUGUCACUUAUAGAUGAAUCCGCGCCUCAUUAGCUAGUUGGUAAGGUAACGGCUUACCAAGGCAACGAUGCGUAGCCGACCUGAGAGGGUGAUCGGCCACACUGGAACUGAGACACGGUCCAGACUCCUACGGGAGGCAGCAGUAGGGAAUCUUCCGCAAUGGGCGAAAGCCUGACGGAGCAACGCCGCGUGAGUGAUGAAGGUCUUCGGAUCGUAAAACUCUGUUAUUAGGGAAGAACAAAUGUGUAAGUAACUAUGCACGUCUUGACGGUACCUAAUCAGAAAGCCACGGCUAACUACGUG